rnacentral:rRNA from 1 species
GACGAACGCUGGCGGCGUGCUUAACACAUGCAAGUCGAACGGUAAGGCCCUUCGGGGUACACGAGUGGCGAACGGGUGAGUAACACGUGGGUGAUCUGCCCUGCACUUCGGGAUAGGCCUGGGAAACUGGGUCCAAUACCGGAUAGGACCACUGCCUGCAUGGGUGGUGGUGGAAAGCUUUUGCGGUGUGGGAUGGGCCCGCGGCCUAUUAGCUUGUUGGUGGGGUGAUGGCCUACCAAGGCGACGACGGGUAGCCGGCCUGAGAGGGUGACCGGCCACACUGGGACUGAGAUACGGCCCAGACUCCUACGGGAGGCAGCAGUGGGGAAUAUUGCACAAUGGGCGCAAGCCUGAUGCAGCGACGCCGCGUGAGGGAUGACGGCCUUCGGGUUGUAAACCUCUUUCAGCACCGACGAAGCGCAAGUGACGGUAGGUGCAGAAGAAGGACCGGCCAACUACGUGCCAGCCGCCGCGGUAA